ensembl:antisense
UGUGGCCGGGUGAAAAGGCGAGGUGGACAGCACCAGAGGUUUCUCCGAGUCCCCUCCGGGAAAGGUCACUUGAAACCAGACGGCGAAACCGUGCAGAGGCGCGGAACCAUAGCAGCUGCAGCGGAAGCGCCCGCCCACACCAGCCUCCAGCUCCUGCUCCAGGCCGGCUCGGGCCAGCUCGAGCUGGGCAAAGCGCUGCGGCCGGGCCAGCACGUCCUCUCCGGACAGAUCCUGCACCACGAUCUCCGAAUGGCCCAUGAGGCAGCGCGUGGCGAAGCUCUCCAUGCAGCUCAUAUCCACGCCAUAGUGCUGCUUCACCUGGCUCCAGAAACCCAGACGCCACUCGAGCAUCUGGUCGCUGAUCGGGGCCACGAAGAGCUCCGCGGAAGCCGGCAGGAGGAGACCGCCCUCCUUCAGCCACUUGGUCCGCGCGUGGAGCACGGAGCUCAGCAUGGACUCGUGCAGAAGUCCGUAGCCCAUCCACUCGCUGACGAUGGCGUCCACUCGCUCCGGCAGCUCCACCGUCUCCACCGGGCCCGGCAGGACGUGCACGCGGUCCUCCAACCCGUUGAGCCGCACCACCUCCCGGGCCUGUUGCCAGAUGGCGCUGGCCUCCACCGCGUACACACGCCGGGCCCCGGCCUGGGCGCAGAAGAUGCUGAGAAUGCCGGUGCCCGCGCCCACGUCCAGCACCGUCUUGCCUCGCAGCGCGGCCCAGUUCUUCAGGAUGCCCAAGCGGUAGGCGUCGGUGCGGACGCGGUCGGCGAUCAUCUCCUCGUGGACCGAGACGUCGGAGUAGCACGCGUAGUACAGCUGGUCCCGCUCGCGCUUGGUCCUCCGGGGUCGUGGCGGGGCUGCCUCCUGCUCCCCGCCAUUUUCCUCCUCGGCUCCCUCCCCUCCGGCGCCGGCGCCGCCGCCCCCCGACUCAAGCUUUCUUUUCUUGCUCAGCGACAUCUUGGCCCCGGCAGCUGACCCCCAGCAUGCGUUGCGCCGUGCGGUGCGCAGGCUCAGAGUCCCGGAGGCCUGCUGGGAUGUGUAGUCCGCCUUCUGCAUCCCGCCUCCUAUGGUCAGAGGCUCAUCCAGAGUCAAUCCUGGCACUUUGUUCUGUUCCUCUAACGCCGUGACAAAUUGUUUCUCUAAGACCACACUAUUUUCCCGAGAUCCUUUCAGUUCUUGCCCUUUCCUUUUACCCCUUGUAUUAGUCAGGGCUCUCUAGAGUCACAGAAAGUAUGGGUAGUCUCUGUGUAGUAAGGGAAUUUGUUGAUGACUUACCAUCUGUAGUCCAACUCCCUAACAAUGGUCAGCAGCAGCUGUGAAUGAAGUCCAAGGAUCUGGCAGUUGCUCAGUCCCACACGGCAAGCAGGCAGAAAAAGAGUGAGUUUCCCUCCUUCCACUGUCCUUAUAUAGGCCUCCAGCAGAAGGUGUGUCCCAGAAUAAAGGCGUGUAUCACCACGCCUGGAUCUGAGACUUCCUUGUCCCAGAGAUCUCCUUGCCUCAGUCUCCCGGGAUUAAAGGCGUGUACUACCUUGCCUGAGCCUAAGCUUUUCAUGGCCACUAUGGCUCAAGAUCUCCAUGCCAAGGUCCAGGUCAGAAACCUGUCUUCCAGCCUCAAGAUCUGGAUCACAGGUGGGCCUUCCAAUUCUGGACUGUAGUUCAUUCCGGAUAUAGUCAAGUUGACAACCAGGAAUAGUCACUACACUCCUCUGUUUUUUACACAUUCUUGAAGUAGGCACACCACUUACAGCUACAUGUCUAUGCUCCCCUCCCAGGACCUCCCCCCCCCCCCACUACUGAAUUAUGGUGGCACAGUUCUUGUCCCUCCCCUGACACUUGUAACUCGUCAAGCUCUCUGUUUUAACCAGAGUUAGGAUACAACGAAUAUGUAUGGGGCAAAGUGAAAAACAAAUAAUACAAGAUCUUGGUUCUGAGUCCAAAGUGAUCCCCAAGGUACUUUAAGAUUCAGGGCAAAUACUGAAGAACUGCUGUGACCAUGAAAUGUAUCAGCCACCACCGUGUCUCUGGAGAAUAGUUUGCUUGGUCUUGAGUCCUGUUCUGAAAAUUCUGUAGUUCAAACUAAAGAGCAAUUAACAUCAGUGGUAUGAGAUUCUCAAACCCAUUACCAAUGUAUUUGGUGACCAGCUUAUAUAUACACACAUACAUACACAUAAAUCUAUGUGUCUAUAUAAAAACAUUUGCUUGGAGAAAUGGUGGAACUCAUCUCUUUUGACUACUUUUCCAAUGCAAUUCACUUUUUUUUUUUUUUAAAUCCUGCUAUAUCUCCUUGUAAAGGCAGAAUUGAUACUUUCAGGCUCAGUCAUUUUACUUUUUCUGUUAGUCAAGAAGAAGCUUAACUAACAAUAAAUUAAUCUCUUAAUUGGCCAUAACAUAAAAACAAUAAUUUAAAGAAUGUGUACUGGUGUCUGGAACAGGAGCAAUGGAUAGCACUGGCUGCUCUUCCAGAAGACCCAGGUUAGAUUAGAAAUACCCACAUGAAGGCUUACACUUGGCUUUAACCACAGUCCCAGAGACAAAAAAUAAAAUAAAAUAAAUAAUUAAUAAAUGAAUAGAUGUUAAAAUAACUAUUUUCUUAUUAAGAAUAACAUUUUUCAAGCUUAAAAACUAAUCACACAAAAGAAAAUGGGCUUUAUUGUGUGUGUGUUAAAAAAUACUUGUUUAACUACAUUAAACUUCUAGGCAACAGAAUUUCUUUCCCUUUUCUCUCUAUUAGUGUCGCUAAUGAAAUUGGUUUAUUAAUGUGAAAUCCUCAGCUGUACUUGUAAUCUCAAGGCUCCCAGUCCUGGCUCAUUAGAACCCUCCAUGGAAAUUUAUUGAAAUACCUAUACUAGGGUCCACCUCAACCCAGUUAAAUGAGAGUCACUCAGGGGAACUCGGGCAUCUAGUUUUUAAAGCUGCUGGGGAAUCAUAAUGUGAAACCAGAUGAUUAUGCCUAAUUUUGAUGUAAUUAAAUCUUAUAUCAUUAUUUUCAAUAGUCAGGGCUCAGCAACCUAUAAUUGAAAAUUCAUAAAGUAGGUAUUCUUCGUUUUUGCCUCGGUUUCUUAUCUUAUGUUAAUGAAGUAAUGCUUAGAAUAGGACAUGAGAUUAGUUAUAAAACACAUGAGAUUAGUUUUUGAUAACACACAUUGGGCUUUCCUUAGCCUAUACUUCUCCCACUCUGUUCUCAAACUGCCAGUUUCCCUUUUGGGUGUGUUCCGUGUUUCACUUUUGAAAAGCUAAUUAAUUAAUUGAUUGAUUUUGUUAUUAUGCAUGUGUGCUAUAGGAUGCUUGUAGAGGUCAAAGGACAGCUAAGGAGGUUGGUGCUCUGCUUAUCAUGUGGUACUUGGGAUCCAACUCCAGUCGCCAGGCUUGACUGUAAGUGUUUUUCCUCCUGAGUCAUCUCCCUUACCCAGAAUGUGCUUAUUGCUAACCCAAUUUUUAAUUUACUUCUUUUUAGUUUCUUGUAAAAAUUCUUUAAAUAAAAGGCUGUGCGUUCAUCUG